GAUGAGCGCUGGCGGCGUGCCUAAUACAUGCAAGUCGAGCGAACAGACGAGGAGCUUGCUCCUCCGACGUUAGCGGCGGACGGGUGAGUAACACGUGGAUAACCUACCUAUAAGACUGGGAUAACUUCGGGAAACCGGAGCUAAUACCGGAUAAUAUAUUGAACCGCAUGGUUCAAUAGUGAAAGACGGUUUUGCUGUCACUUAUAGAUGGAUCCGCGCCGCAUUAGCUAGUUGGUAAGGUAACGGCUUACCAAGGCAACGAUGCGUAGCCGACCUGAGAGGGUGAUCGGCCACACUGGAACUGAGACACGGUCCAGACUCCUACGGGAGGCAGCAGUAGGGAAUCUUCCGCAAUGGGCGAAAGCUUGACGGAGCAACGCCGCGUGAGUGAUGAAGGUCUUCGGAUCGUAAAACUCUGUUAUUAGGGAAGAACAAAUGUGUAAGUAACUAUGCACGUCUUGACAGUACCUAAUCAGAAAGCCACGGCUAACUACGUG
rnacentral:rRNA from 1 species